AACGAACGCUGGCGGCAUGCCUAACACAUGCAAGUCGAACGAGACCUUCGGGUCUAGUGGCGCACGGGUGCGUAACGCGUGGGAACCUGCCUUUAGGUUCGGAAUAACUCAGAGAAAUUUGAGCUAAUACCGGAUGAUGUCUUCGGACCAAAGAUUUAUCGCCUUUAGAUGGGCCCGCGUUGGAUUAGCUAGUUGGUGGGGUAAAGGCCUACCAAGGCGACGAUCCAUAGCUGGUCUGAGAGGAUGAUCAGCCACACUGGGACUGAGACACGGCCCAGACUACUACGGGAGGCAGCAGUGGGGAAUAUUGGACAAUGGGCGAAAGCCUGAUCCAGCAAUGCCGCGUGAGUGAUGAAGGCCUUAGGGUUGUAAAGCUCUUUUACCCGAGAUGAUACUGACAGUAUCGGGAGAAUAAGCACCGGCUAACUCCGUG
rnacentral:rRNA from 1 species